rnacentral:rRNA from 1 species
CCUACGGGAGGCAGCAGUGAGGAAUAUUGGACAAUGGGUGGAAGCCUGAUCCAGCCAUCCCGCGUGAAGGAUGUCGGUCCUAUGGAUUGUAAACUUCUUUUGUACAGGGAUAAACCUGCCCUCGUGAGGGCAGCUGAAGGUACCGUACGAANAGGCACCGGCUAACUCCGUGCCAGCAGCCGCGGUAAUACGGAGGGUGCGAGCGUU